AUCUCCACUAAUGUAGCAAAACACAAUCAAGAGAUCAAAAGGAUUUUUAAUGGUUGUAAUGGGACUAAGGGAUAAUAAUGUGGCUGACAAAGAAAAGGCAAAAGGAAAGCAAAACAUGAGAAUAAUUAAAUUGUUAAAAAGAUCAAGAUACACUUUUCUUUUAUUAUUAUUAUUAAUUAUUUUUUUUAAAUAAUUUUGUGCUUCCUUCAAUG
rnacentral:misc_RNA from 1 species